rnacentral:rRNA from 1 species
AUUGAACGCUGGCGGCAGGCUUAACACAUGCAAGUCGAGCGGGGUGAGGUGCUUCGGUACUGAUCCUAGCGGCGGACGGGUGAGUAAUGCUUAGGAAUCUGCCAUUUAGUGGGGGACAACAUUCCGAAAGGGAUGCUAAUACCGCAUACGUCCUACGGGAGAAAGCAGGGGAUCUUCGGACCUUGCGCUAAAUGAUGAGCCUAAGUCGGAUUAGCUAGUUGGUGGGGUAAAGGCCUACCAGGGCGACGAUCUGUAGCGGGUCUGAGAGGAUGAUCCGCCACACUGGGACUGGGACACGGCCCAGACUCCUACGGGAGGCAGCAGUGGGGAAUAUUGGACAAUGGGCGGAAGCCUGAUCCAGCCAUGCCGCGUGUGUGAAGAAGGCCUUUUGGUUGUAAAGCACUUUAAGCGAGGAGGAGGCUACCUGGAUUAAUACUCUGGGAUAGUGGACGUUACUCGCAGAAUAAGCACCGGCUAACUCUGUGCCAGCCGCCGCCGUAAAAC